GGAUUGCGCAGCCUUACCAUGCAGUUCGAACGGUAGCACAGAAGAAGCUUGCUUCUCGGGUGACGAGUGGCGGACGGGUGAGUAAUGUCUGGGAAACUGCCUGAUGGAGGGGGAUAACUACUGGAAACGGUAGCUAAUACCGCAUAACGUCGCAAGACCAAAGAGGGGGACCUUCGGGCCUCUUGCCAUCAGAUGUGCCCAGAUGGGAUUAGCUAGUAGGUGGGGUAACGGCUCACCUAGGCGACGAUCCCUAGCUGGUCUGAGAGGAUGACCAGCCACACUGGAACUGAGACACGGUCCAGACUCCUACGGGAGGCAGCAGUGGGGAAUAUUGCACAAUGGGCGCAAGCCUGAUGCAGCCAUGCCGCGUGUAUGAAGAAGGCCUUCGGGUUGUAAAGUACUUUCAGCGGGGAGGAAGGUGUUGUGGUUAAUAACCGCAGCAAUUGACGUUACCCGCAGAAGAAGCACCGGCUAACUCCGUGCCAGCAGCCGCGGUAAUACGGAGGGUGCAAGCGUUAAUCGGAAUUACUGGGCGUAAAGCGCACGCAGGCGGUCUGUCAAGUCGGAUGUGAAAUCCCCGGGCUCAACCUGGGAACUGCAUUCGAAACUGGCAGGCUGGAGUCUUGUAGAGGGGGGUAGAAUUCCAGGUGUAGCGGUGAAAUGCGUAAAGAUCUGGAGGAAUACCGGUGGCGAAGGCGGC
rnacentral:rRNA from 1 species